AGUGGGAUAGCUGGGCAAAUGGUCCAUUCCAAGUUUCUGAGGAAUCUCUAUAAUCCUUUCAGAGUGGCUGCACCAAUUUGCAGUCCCACCAGCAU
rnacentral:pre_miRNA from 1 species